AUUCAAUUAAAAAGAGGCAUACAAUGUACUAUCCUAAGGUGAUUUUCGACUCUUAUGUCAGAUCAAACUCAACAACUCCAUCCCAAGAUACAAUCAGUAACCUUCCCAGUGGGCACAACCUUAGAGAGGAUUAUAGAGCUUCAACCUAGUAGAUGAAAGAUCAAAGAAAUAGAUCAAAAAAAAUUUGGAAGAAGAAGGUUUAGGAGAGAGGAAGUGGACCAACAAAGAGAUUAGAUUAGGAGAGGAGAGAGCUUUUUCUUGUAUAUCCUAACUUCUAACAAAGGGCUUAAUUAUAGGCCUAAGAAUUAGCUGUUUGGGCUAGUAAACAGUCAAAAAUAUUAAACACAUAUUAACAGGCUAAUGGAUAGAAAACCAAUAGGCAAAACUUUAAUCAUCCAACAGACAAAACAUCAGUUAGACGAUCAACAUUAAACAACAUUAAAAUAUGGUAUUUAUCCUCAAAUAAAUAAGAAAAAAUAGUAAUAAUCAUUAAAAGAGAAAACAUAAAUAGAGAAAAAAAUGUGGGCCCC
rnacentral:lncRNA from 1 species